rnacentral:rRNA from 1 species
UAACGGGGCGGUCCUCUAUGAGGCCCGUCAUUGUAUUGAGUAAAACUCAAAAUAUUUAACGAAACCAAUUGGAGGGCAAGUCUGGUGCCAGCAGCCGCGGUAAUUCCAGCUCCAAAAGCAUAUAUUAAAGUUGUUGCGUUAAAAAGCUCGUAGUUGGAUCCAUGACCUCGGAGGGCGGUCCCCCACUGGGUGCGUACUGCUGCUCCGAGUCCUAUCUGUCAGUUUGUCUGUGUUGCCUUUAAUCGGGUGGCACAGGUGACUGACGUGUUUACUUUGAAAAAAUUAGAGUGUUUAAAGCAGGCGUUGAAUGCCUGAAUAGUGGUGCAUGGAAUAAUGGAAUAGGAUCUCGGUUCUAUUUUGUUGGUUCAAAAGCAUGAGAAAAUGAUUAAGAGGGACAGACGGGUCAUUUGUAUUGCUGCGUUAGAGGUGAAAUUCUUGGAUCGUAGCAAGACAAACUACUGCGAAGGCAUUUGCCAAGAAUGUUUUCAUUAAUCAAGAACAAAAGUUAGAGGUUCGAAGGCGAUCAGAUACCGCCCUAGUUCUAACCGUAAACCAUGUCGACUAGCUAUCUGUCAGCGUUAAUAAUGACCUGACAGGCAGCUUACCGGAAACGAAAGUUUCUCGAUUCCGGGGGUAGUAUGGUUGCAAAGCUGAAACUUAAAGGAAUUGACGGAAGGGCACCACCAGGAGUGGAGCCUGCGGCUUAAUUUGACCCAACACGGGAAAACUCACCCGGCCCGGACACCGUAAGGAUUGACAGAUUAAUAGCUCUUUCUCGAUUUGGUGAUUGGUGGUGCAUGGCCGUUCUUAGUUGGUGGAGCGAUUUGUCUGGUUAAUUCCGAUAACGAACGAGAUUCUAACUUACUAACUAGUUCCACGAUCCUUGUGGUCCUAAAUACUUCUUAGAGGGAAAACCGGCAUUUAGUCGAACGAGAUUGAGCAAUAACAGGUCUGUGAUGCCCUUAGAUGUCCGGGGCUGCACGCGUGCUACACUGAAGGAAUCAGCGUGUUUUUCCCUUGCCUGUUAUGGCUGGGUAACCGACUGAAUCUCCUUCGUGUUAGGGAUAGAUCAUUGAAACUAGUGAUCUUCAACUUGGAAUUCCUGGUACGUUUGAGUCAUAAGCUCAAGCAGAUUACGUCCCUGCCCUUUGUACACACCGCCCGUCGCUACUACCGACUGGCAAUAUCUUUGAGACACUUGGAGCGGCCGUGAGCUACCCUAACCGGUAACUCACGGCUGCGAAAAGGUU